GACGAACGCUGGCGGCGUGCUUAACACAUGCAAGUCGAACGGAAAGGCCCUGCUUUUGUGGGGUGCUCGAGUGGCGAACGGGUGAGUAACACGUGAGUAACCUGCCCUUGACUUUGGGAUAACUUCAGGAAACUGGGGCUAAUACCGGAUAGGAGCUCCUGCUGCAUGGUGGGGGUUGGAAAGUUUCGGCGGUGUGGGGUGGACUCGCGGCUUAUCAGGUUGUUGGGGGGGUAGCGGCUUACCAAGGCUUUGACGGGUUGUCCGCCGGAGAGGGUGACCGGCCACAUUGGGACUGAGAUACGGCCCAGACUCCUACGGGAGGCAGCAGUGGGGAAUAUUGCACAAUGGGCGGAAGCCUGAUGCAGCAACGCCGCGUGCGGGAUGACGGCCUUCGGGUUGUAAACCGCUUUCGCCUGUGACGAAGCGUGAGUGACGGUAAUGGGUAAAGAAGCACCGGCUAACUACGUG
rnacentral:rRNA from 1 species